rnacentral:lncRNA from 1 species
CCUCCUUUUCUUUGUCAUGCAUGCAUAUUAAUUGAGGAUGGAGAAUAUCUACGCUUGUUCAGGCCAGCCAACAUACGACAGUUUACUUCAAGAGAGGAGACACGGGUUGAAUGCUGAAAACACGCACAGCCAAGCCCAGAUGCCAGUCUUGUUAGCUGCCUUCCUUUACCUUCAAGAGUGGGCUGAAGCUUGUCCAAUCUUUCAAGGUUGCUGAAGACUGUAUGAUGGAAGUCAUCUGCAUUGGGAAAGAAAUUAAUGGAGAGAGGAGAAAACUUGAGAAUCCACACUACUCACCCUGCAGGGCCAAGAACUCUGUCUCCCAUGCUUUGCUGUCCUGUCUCAGUAUUUCCUGUGACCACCUCCUUUUUCAACUGAAGACUUUGUACCUGAAGGGGUUCCCAGGUUUUUCACCUCGGCCCUUGUCAGGACUGAUCCUCUCAACUACUGACCAUUUCACCUCCAUUCAUGUCCAUGCCACAUCAGGCUGUGUUGUCUAGAUGGAAUGAAUCCACCCCAAAUGUCCCUUUCUGGAGGAAGCCACCAUUAUGCUGUACCUCCAAGCAUAAUGGUACGUCCACACACACCAGGGCACCUCGCUCAUGCAAGGUGCGUGUCCUCUAACAAAGUUUCACGCUCUAAACCCAGAUAACUUUUCAAACCCAAGUUCUGUUGAUUCCCCUACUUUGAGUGCUCCAUAGAUGCUCAUUUGUCUACUAAACACUGCCCCAGGCAAUUAAAUAUUCCAAAGUGACCAGCAGAAUUUUUAUGUUAAUU